rnacentral:rRNA from 1 species
GACGAACGCUGGCGGCGUGCCUAAUACAUGCAAGUAGAACGAAGUUGCGAACGGGUGAGUAACGCGUAGGUAACUGCCUGGUAGCGGGGGAUAAAUAUUGGAAACGAUAGCUAAUACCGCAUACUACCAGAUGGACCUGCGUUGUAUUAGCUAGUUGGUGAGGUAACGGCUCACCAAGGCAACGAUACAUAGCCGACCUGAGAGGGUGAUAGGACAACCUGUGAAUGGGACACGGCCCAGACUCCUACGGAAGGUAGCAGUGGGUAGUCUUCGGCAAUGGGGGGAACCCUGACCGAGCAACGCCGCGUGAGUGAAGAGGGGUUUCGGAUCGUAAAGCUCUGUUGUUAAGGAAGCGGGACUUAACCAGAAAGGGACGGCUAACUACGUGCCAGCAGCCGCGGUAAUUC